rnacentral:rRNA from 1 species
AGUGAACGCUGGCGGCGUGCCUAAUACAUGCAAGUCGAACGGCGUGGCGCACGGGUGAGUAAUAUAUAGCUAAUCCGCCCCUUGCUGGAGGACUAACGCCAGAAAUGACUGCCAAUACCCCAUAGCACGUGAUGAGACUACAUCGUAUCAUCUAGUCGGUGGGGUAACGGCCUACCCCGGCUAUGCCGCGUAACUGGUCUGAGAGGAUGAUCAGUCACAUUGGAACUGAGACACGGGCCAAACUCCUACAGGAGGGAGCAGUAGGGAAUAUUGCGCAAGGGGGGAAACCCUGACGCAGCAACGCCGCGUGGAGGAUGACAAUUUUCGGAGCGUAAACUCCUUUUGUUAGGGAAGCGGUACCUAACGAAUAAGCACCGGCUAACUCCGUGCCAGCAGCCGCGGUAAUAC